AUCAGCAGCAGACUAAGCUGGGGCGUAGAAACGUCUUUUUUUCUUUACUCUAAUAUAAAAACAUUGCACAGAUAUUUUAACGGUGCUUCGUGUGAUAUUCAUGCGAUCUCCGACUUCCUGACAGAGGGAUCUUCGGGACAGUCGCCGCCUCUACCAGCCGCUGCGUUUACCCCCCCCCCCGGAGGCAAUAAAGCCGCGACUGGGAGAGGAAAAGGAGCAAGCAAGCCCUGCUAGAAAAGACUUUUGACGGCAAACAGACAGCCUGCCUCUGUGAGCUCCUUCUCGCCGGGAUGUGAAGACAGGACGCGGGAGAUGUGCGGUCUGUUGAUAUUUCCCACUCGCCAUCGUGACCCCUCAGCUGCUGCGCUGGACCAUAGUGAAGCUCCAAACUACGGAGAGCCUGCUAGGACAGUUCAUCGGGUCAAAAUGAGUGGCACCGUGGAUUUAUCAGUAAGUGUUAUCCAUCGCCCCACGCCUUUCCACCUGGCUUUAGUCAAGAGCUUUGACACUUCGUGGAGCUUGUUAUUUGGCUGUAGGCAAACAGCUGGCUCCACUGACAUCAAAUCCCUGCACUCUCAACGAACUGGUGCUCAUACGAGGACUGCGGUUUAACUUUUAACUUUUUUAAUUUUUCCCUUUCAAAUAUUAAACCUAAAACUGCCACUUAAGCUCGAAUUACUGUCCUCCUACAAACUACUUGUGUCUAGUUAAUAGCCAGAGAAGUUGCACUCUUGUUGCACAGGUGAACUGGAUUUAACGCUGCAGCAUGAGUCUAAUGAACCACAACAUUGCCAUAAUGAACUGCAAACCGACCAAUGGUUUCUGUGGGGCAUCUAGUAUCUAAAACCACCUCUGCUCCCCUGGCUGCUGCUGUUAUACGGUAUUCAUAUCCAACUAGUCUCCAGUCUGUCUGCACUUCAUUAAAACUUUUUAUUUUAACUGGACGAUCCAGUUUAACGUUAUUACACCUGGGGAGAGUAAACGUGUAGAGGCUAUUAGGUUAAGGGUUUGAUUAAAAGCGCAUCGUAACCAUUUUCAGGAGGGAGCGGAAUAUUGCUGCACUGUCUGCAUCCAGGUCAGGUGCUGCUGGGGCCACCAAAUUAAAAACACGCCAUGCAUGGACACAACCUCCACAUAGUUUCGCGCAGAUUUAUUUUGUUUACAUACGUACAUGUGUGAACACGCUUGUACGGCUGUUAUUUUGCAGGAGGGGUGGGGAAGAGGAGAAAAGCUUAACAAUUUCUCAAAUGAACAAAUGAAACAUCAAAUUAGUCCGCCUGAGGGCCUCAUUUUUUGUACUUCUACAUUAUAACUAGUUAUUGAACUAGGUGCACGAUCUGAAAGCCAUUUGUGGGGAGAAAGAAUUCAUUGCUGUCUCUCCAUCAAUAAUCCUUGGCAGUGAACUAUUGGAACCAGUCAAACGCGAGGGGUGAAACGCGGGUCAGGCUGUCUAACUAAUAUUAAAAUGCGUCCG